GGGAAACUGCUGAUGGAGGGGGAUAACUACUGGAAACGGUAGCUAAUACCGCAUAACGUCGCAAGACCAAAGAGGGGGACCUUCGGGCCUCUUGCCAUCAGAUGUGCCCAGAUGGGAUUAGCUAGUAGGUGGGGUAACGGCUCACCUAGGCGACGAUCCCUAGCUGGUCUGAGAGGAUGACCAGCCACACUGGAACUGAGACACGGUCCAGACUCCUACGGGAGGCAGCAGUGGGGAAUAUUGCACAAUGGGCGCAAGCCUGAUGCAGCCAUGCCGCGUGUAUGAAGAAGGCCUUCGGGUUGUAAAGUACUUUCAGCGGGGAGGAAGGGAGUAAAGUUAAUACCUUUGCUCAUUGACGUUACCCGCAGAAGAAGCACCGGCUAACUCCGUGCCAGCAGCCGCGGUAAUACGGAGGGUGCAAGCGUUAAUCGGAAUUACUGGGCGUAAAGCGCACGCAGGCGGUUUGUUAAGUCAGAUGUGAAAUCCCAGGGCUCAACCUGGGAACUGCAUCUGAUACUGGCAAGCUUGAGUCUCGUAGAGGGGGGUAGAAUUCCAGGUGUAGCGGUGAAAUGCGUAGAGAUCUGGNAGGAAUNANNCCNNGGUGGCGAAGGCGGCCCCCUGGACGAAGACUGACGCUCAGGUGCGAAAGCGUGGGGAGCAAACAGGAUUAGAUACCCUGGUAGUCCACGCCGUAAACGAUGUCGACUUGGAGGUUGUGCCCUUGAGGCGUGGCUUCCGGAGCUAACGCGUUAAGUCGACCGCCUGGGGAGUACGGCNCGCNANANGGUUAAAACUCAAAUNGAAUUGACGGGGGCCCGCGCAAGCGGUGGAGCAUGUGGUUUAAUUCGAUGCAACGCGAAGAACCUUACCUGGUCUUGACAUCCACGGAAGUUUUCAGAGAUGAGAAUGUGCCUUCGGGAACCGUGAGACAGGUGCUGCAUGGCUGUCGUCAGCUCGUGUUGUGAAAUGUUGGGUUAAGUCCCGCAACGAGCGCAACCCUUAUCCUUUGUUGCCAGCGGUCCGGCCGGGAACUCAAAGGAGACUGCCAGUGAUAAAGUGGAGGAAGGUGGCGAUGACGUCAAGUCAUCAUGGCCCUUACGACCAGGGCUACACACGUGCUACAAUGGCGCAUACAAAGAGAAGCGACCUCGCGAGAGCAAGCGGACCUCAUAAAGUGCGUCGUAGUCCGGAUUGGAGUCUGCAACUCGACUCCAUGAAGUC
rnacentral:rRNA from 1 species